rnacentral:rRNA from 1 species
CGUAGGUCCCGAGCGUUGUCCGGAAUUACUGGGUGUAAAGGGGUGCGCAGGCGGUCUUGUGCGUCAGAAGUGAAAUAUCACGGCUUAACCGUGAGGGUGCUUUUGAAACGGCGAGACUUGAGUACGGGAGAGGAUGAUGGAAUUCCUGGUGUAGCAGUGAAAUGCGUAGAUAUCAGGAGGAACACCGGUGGCGAAGGCGGUCAUCUGGCCCGGUACUGACGCUCAGGCACGAAAGUGUGGGUAGCAAACAGGAUUAGAUACCCUGGUAGUCCACACCAUAAACGAUGUAUGCUUGGUGUUGGGGCAGCAAUGCUUCAGUGCCGUAGGGAACCUAUUAAGCAUACCACCUGGGGAGUACGAUCGCAAGGUUG